ensembl:lncRNA
CUAGAACUCCGAUAAAUGGUUUACUUCUUAUUAGCUCCCACGUUAAGCGUUUAAUGACAGAAGCCAGUAUGAACUCAAAUGCCAUUUGGGCCUGGCUUCAUUCUCCUGUGCUCUCUCUGUUACUCCUCCCCACCUCCUCCAACACCAUGUGUAAUAUCUGAGCAGAUUUUCUGGGUAGUUGUCAGUGUUAAUUUUUACAAUCUCUGCCAUAACAGCUUCGAAGAAACACACACAUAAAGUCAGUAUCAAGGAGAAUUUCUCUGUAGGCCACGGAGCUAAACCAGACUCUCAGAAAUGUGCUUGAUGUUCCCCUGGGCAGCAUUCACGGCCUCCUUGGAAAGCCUUAGUCCACCUCUCUGCUCCCGGCAAGCUGUAAUUUGGGGAACAAGUUGGCAGGUACCAGCAAGGGACAGUAGGCUUUGAAUUAAGCUUCGUAAAGCCAGAAGCUUAGGAAACACACCUUCCGAUGAGUUUCUUUUUAACACUUGUGUUUCUUCUAACUGCCCUGCAAACAAUAACUGUACAUUCCAUCAAGAUAACUGGAGCCAUUAAUCUUCUGUAGCACAGGAGUUUCUGGUACCAUGAAGAUAGUAACGGGAUUUUCUUUCGGCAAUACUUUGAAAAAUGACUGUUAUUUUGUAUUCCUGGUUUCAGGCAGUUGAUUUCCACGAUGGUGAUGCUGAAUGUGAUAUCAUAACUUGGUCUCUCCAUGUAAACGCCUUCUACGCAAACUUCUCAUUGGAUCGAACCCUGAAAUUAACGCAAAAUUAUUUUGGUAAGGGCCAUACUUUGAGCCAUUCGCUUCGAAGAAGAUUUUUGAAUGCAGAGACUGAGCCUGUUUGUUUAUGCAGUGUGGGCUGCUCACCCUCCUGGAGCUGAUAAACUCUGCUGAUCCCAAGGCGGAGAGUGAGCCAAGAGCAGCAUCUCAGAAGCCGGAGAGGUGGAGAGCCAGGAAGAUGAAAGAGAGGAGUGGGCCUUUGAUUUUACCGAAGAAAGUUGGCGUGUUUGUGCAGAUUUUUCUAUGAGAUGACAUAACAUGAUUCCUAGUAGCAACAUGCCAUCUGGCUGCAGUGCUGUUGGUGUCGUUCAGGUUCCCACUGGGAAAGGCAGCCGGCGGACCAGGCUUAGCCAAAUGCCUGCAGACAUUUCGGCCUCAGCUGCACCCAAUGUGUCCCUACUGGCUCUUUGCACCAAGUUCUGAAAUUCAUCUGUGCGCAGAAGGAAAUGUUCUCUUUCUGCUUCUGUGUGACCCUUCUGCUGCAACCAAUUAAUAUUCAUGAAAGAGAAUAUUAAUUCUUUUCCAAGCUGAAACUCAGAAAUCAAAAACAGAGUAAGGGUUGUUUCAAGACCAAGCUAAACCACCUCCCGGAUUUGCCUGUGUUGAAACAACUAGCCAUCUAACAAAAACGGCCAGUGGCAGACAGGACAGUAAAUCCAGGACCUCCAGGCAAGACAAUUCCUGGAGUCUGGGUGGGAGAUGGGUAAACAGACAAAGGAUCUGAGGGCAUGCUUCAUGUUAAUUCCCCUUCCUAUAAAAGACCUGGUGCCGGUUCAUGCUGGGAGUUAGAAUCAUUGUGUUAACAUGUCACCGGCAGUAUUUGUGCAGGAACUGUUAUUAUCCUCACAUUGCUGAGGGGUGGGCUGAUGCUCCGAGAGGCUGAGUGAUUCGAGCAAGGUCAUUCCGUGGUGGAGCCAGGAUUAAUUCAAUCACGGUCUGACUCCAAAGCCUGGGAAUGGUUUUCAGUAUAUUCUCCACUGCCACUUCCGUUAGAUGUAGAUAAAACAUUGUGGGCCCUGUCCACACAGGAACAUUUCUUGUAUGUCUAAGACGACCUGCCCAGGGGUUGCGCUUAGUGUUUUACCAAAAAAUUCAAUUCCA